UAAACUGGGAUUAGAUACCCCACUAUACUUAGCCAUAAACCUUGAUGGACACCACACCAACCCCGUCCGCCAGAGAACUACGAGUAAAAAACUUAAAACUCAAAGGACUUGACGGUGCCCCACACCAGCCUAGAGGAGCCUGUCCAAUAAUCGAUACUCCACGCUUUACCUCUCCCCCCCUCGCACCAAACAGCCUAUAUACCGCCGUCGCCAGCCUGCCUAGUGAUAGUUACACAGCAGGCAAAAUAGUCUUUCCCACUAACACGUCAGGUCAAGGUGUAGCUAAUGAUGGGGCUUGAGAUGGGCUACAUUUUCUAGACAUUAGAAAACACCAAAAGCCAUAUGAAACCUGGACCAAAAGGCGGAUUUAGCAGUAAACCGGACAAGAAGUGCCUAGUUGAAACCUGCCCUGGGGCGCGUACCACCGC
rnacentral:rRNA from 1 species